rnacentral:rRNA from 1 species
AUGCACGCUGGCGGCGUGCCUAAUACAUGCAAGUCGAGCGAACAGACGAGGAGCUUGCUCCUCUGACGUUCGCGGCGGACGGGUGAGUAACACGUGGAUAACCUACCUAUAAGACUGGGAUAACUUCGGGAAACCGGAGCUAAUACCGGAUAAUAUAUUGAACCGCAUGGUUCAAUAGUGAAAGACGGUUUUGCUGUCACUUAUAGAUGGAUCCGCGCCGCAUUAGCUAGUUGGUAAGGUAACGGCUUACCAAGGCAACGAUGCGUAGCCGACCUGAGAGGGUGAUAGGCCACACUGGAACUGAGACACGGUCCAGACUCCUACGGGAGGCAGCAGUAGGGAAUCUUCCGCAAUGGGCGAAAGCCUGACGGAGCAACGCCGCGUGAGUGAUGAAGGUCUUCGGAUCGUAAAACUCUGUUAUUAGGGAAGAACAAAUGUGUAAGUAACUAUGCACGUCUUGACGGUACCUAAUCAGAAAGCCACGGCUAACUACGUG